AGAAGAUGCUUAGAGAUGGGACUACUGUGUCAAAUUCACUACUUGGUCAAAUUCUAACCAACAAUGACUGGGACUUCAAUCUCAACUGCACUGGUUGUAAUUAGAUUUCAGAGCCUAGAAAUUCUGACCAGGAAAAGACAAUGAGGAGGAUGUAUAAUGGGAGGCAUUCAUCAGGGAAGUGGCAGAGAAAUACAAGACAAGAAGGUAUUUUGAAUACAUUUUCAAAGAAGCAGUUGGAAAUUAUUGCUGUUUAAAUGUGUCCCACAAAGUUUAUGUGUUAGAAACUUAAUCCCCACUGCAACAGUGUUGAGA
rnacentral:lncRNA from 1 species